GGAUGGUGUUUAUGGACGAUUCAAAAUGGUUACUGCACGUGUGUAACCAGUGCGUGCUGUCGAUCGGUUUGCUACGUGGAUUUUAAUAAUGAACAGUUUAUUCAUUUGAUAAAUAAUAAACACUAUUAAACACACAGUAGUAAGAUGUUGAGGCUUUUGAGAUGUUAUGCGAUACCUGUACAGAACUUGUCACUCACGACAGUGCAAAUAAAUUUACAACAAAAUAAUCACGUUUGUUCGUUCUGCAAUUUUCAUCACCUGAAGCCAAUCACGUAUUUCAGAAAUGGUUCUCUUCAUCGUCGAACGACAAGUACAAAUACGGCAACUGCGGAUAAAACAACGCCAAAGAAGAUUAAACAUAAGAAGAAAAAGUAUGCAGAGCUCCUGGAAGUAUCCGGUCAGAAAACAACGAAUACAAAAGCUACCGUCCAAAAGUUGAACGCUGUCAGUGUAUCAAAACUUGCUAAUGAGCCUGAGAUCAGAUUGGAUCAAGUUCACAAAAUCAACAGUUUAAAUAAACUACCGAGUUCCAAGACAGUUGAUGCAGAAUGUAAGCAAGACAUGGAGCAAAAAGAAUCUGAGGAUUCAGGCUAUCAAAGUAAUUUGCACAACGACGAUAUUGAAGAGGACCAUAUGGUAUACGGUUCCUCGGAUCAAACUAUGCUGAUCAAGAAUGCAUUGGUGUUAACCACAUUAGAAGAUUAUUCGCAAGAUGCAGUAGACGGAAGCACUUCCGAUUCUCAACCUAGCAAUGCGACGAAAUCGAAAAAGAAGAAAGAGAAAAAAUCAAAAGCUCACACCGAUGGACACAACAAAGACGAGAAUAUGAAAAUGAAAAUUAAGGAAUUAGAAGAGCUGGGUAAAAAAACGAGUUUUGAACGCAACCUGCAUGCAUAUCUGAACGUUUGCGUCAACUGUGGAUUGACAUCCGAAGCAUCACGCACAUUAUUAUGGUAUAGAAAACGAGGAAAGUACUUGAAGUAUGUACUUAGAGGUCUUAAUAUUGUUCACUACAACACUGUAUUACAUGGAUUUGCGUCAGUCGGUAACUUAGAGAAGUUGAAAGUGUUUUUGCGAAUCAUAGCUCAGGAUUCGUUGAAGACCAAUUCACAAACGUACGCUGCUGUUUUCGAAUGUGUGGGGCGUAUCGCAGACCAUCAAAAUCACCAAGGUUACCUGGAGUCUAUCUCAUCAGAUAUGGCAGCACGGCAUAUUAGUUUCAAUGAUGUUUUGGACAAAUCAGUAUUCAUAAACGAUCAACGAGAAAUGGUUCUUCGAGGAAUUCGCAUCUUGAACCCAGAUUUCGAACCAAUAUAUACAAAAUCAAAUACUUCUUACGCAAACCAUCUACUCGAUGAAAUAUCAAAGACUGAUAGUCAGCAGACUACGCCAGCCAAAGGAUUGUUUUCAGUACCGGAAUUGUCUGAAAUGGCUAGACGUCAAAUGGAACUUGAAUCACUUGGUCAUGUUACUCUGAAAAGCAUCGCCACAAAUGCCGAACCCUCACCAACAGUUUUACUUUGUAGAAAGAAAGUCAUGGAGUCUGAGAAGAUGUGGAGACGUAUCAUUGCAGAAUCCUUUCAAAGAGAUCUGGAUAUUUUGAAAAAGCAAUGCACCACAGGAGAAAGUCUGCAACGGCCAAUAAAUAUAUAUCCCUACCUAAAAGUUUUGGAUGAGCAUCAUUACAUUGAUGUUAUUGCAAAAGAAAUUAAACGAUUAGCUACUGGUUCCGAAAUGUUCAGUCCUUCUUUAAACACGCUGACUCGAAAUCUUGGCCACAAUAUAUUUAGAAAAUAUGAGAUUGAAAUGAAGUCAAGAUACGGCGUGAGUAAAAAGAUAUUCCGAAUAUACGGAAAAUAUUGUGAUCGGUAUUUAAACGGAUACAACGGAAUGAAUACACGAUCUAUCUGGCAAAAUCUCCUCCAUGAAGAAAUACACAGUGGCCCGACCACAGACAUACAAAUUACAGAGUGGCCAUCAACUGUUUUUGGAAGUCUCGGUCGAUUUUUGUAUGACAUCAUUUUGAGGGAUAUCAAAAUUGAUGUCAAUUGUAUAAAAAACAAAAGUAAAACUGAAAGAUAUUUGCCUGCGUUUUACACUGUCUUUAGAAACACUCGAUACGUAAUUACGCAAGAGAUAAAACCGCAUCCAGUCUUGUCACGAAUAUACAAACAAGCGCAGCUCGAUACCUUGGAUUUUGAUACCACAGAUGUACCAUCAGUGAUUCCACCAGUACCCUGGCAUACUGUCCACCAUGGAGGAUACUUGGUAGCUGGUCAAAAAAUUAUAAGACUGCCUUACCAAGCUGUUCAGCAAUGGCGAAUACUCCAAAGUAUACCACAACAGCAGAUAUACCCUGUUCUAGAUUGUUUGAAUCAACUGGGUAGUAUACCCUGGAGAAUAAACCAACCUGUUUUGGACAUCGCUGUGAAGGUAUUCCAGAAUGGCGGAUCAAAAAAAUUAGAUAUUCCAGAACCACAGUCUCCCGUAGUCCCAACUGUAACGGUUGAUGCGAAUGCAUCAAAGGAAGAACGAGUCAAGGCUUCGAAAGCCCGACUGAAGGAAAGGCAGAAAAGAUCAGAUAUGUACUCUCUCUGGUGUGAUACUCUUUACAAACUGUCCUUGGCUAAUCACUUCAGGGGCCAAGUAUUUUGGUUACCACACAGUUUAGAUUUCAGAGGACGUGUAUAUCCAGUCCCUCCACAUCUGAAUCAUUUGGGUUCUGACUUGGCACGUUCCUUGAUGGUCUUUGCUUUAGGAAAACCCUUAGGUCCAGAUGGGCUUGAUUGGCUAAAGAUCCAUAUUAUCAACAUAACAGGACUUAAGAAAAGAGAAUCUAACGACGAGCGACUGAAAUAUGCAAAUGAGCUGUUACCAAAAAUCUUAGACAGUGCAGAAAACCCGUUUACGGGUGAGAAGUGGUGGCAAGAAUCUGAAGAGCCGUGGCAAACGUUAGCUGCUUGUUUUGAAAUAGCAAAUGCUGUGAAGUCGCCAAAGCCGUCUGAAUAUAUUAGUCACUUUCCCGUACAUCAAGAUGGCAGUUGUAACGGAUUGCAACAUUAUGCAGCACUUGGAAGAGAUGAACAAGGAGCUGAAAGUGUUAACCUUGUUCCACGGCCGAAACCUCAAGAUGUCUACAGCUCCGUUGCUGCCCUGGUUGAAAAAGAGAGACAAAAAGAUGCGGAAAAUGGAGUGAAAAUAGCACAAGUUCUAGAUGGGUUAAUUAAAAGAAAAGUCAUCAAACAAACUGUCAUGACUACUGUGUAUGGUGUAACACGAUUUGGUGCCAGACUACAAAUCGCUAGACAACUGAAAGGUGGAGAAGGAAUCAUGGAGGGAGAACAGCCAGCGAACGGGGAAUGACCGUCAGAAGAAAUGGAAGUAGAUAUGACACAAAAUAAAACGAAACACUCGGCAAGCGACUUGAACAGUAACGAUGCAAAAAAUUAUUUAAAAAUGUACCCUUGGAAAGUAAUUUUACCCAUGGAAAUCCCAUACUAAGCCAAAUAGCCAGUUUCCCGCCAUAGCAGAUUCAGAGAAACAAAGUCAAGGUCGAGAUCUAAAAAUAAACGAACGCCAAUAAGUAGACUGCUAUGAGGAUAACAACAAAGGUCCGUACGGAAUAUGAAAAUUGAAUUCUCCGAAGAAUAUUUGUGGCGAGGAAGUAGUUAUUUAGUGAUCAAGACGUUUAACAGCUUGAGAGAAAUGUUUACUAGCACAAAAUUAAUUCAAGAUUGGUUGACGGAUUGUGCCCGUUA
rnacentral:misc_RNA from 1 species